ensembl:lncRNA
GAAAUGAGCGGAAACUAAGGCUGGUCCCUAAAGCAGCAAUAAGGAGUUCAGUUCCAAAACUAGCAAGCUAACUACCUAAAAGGCAUGCAAAAACCUUGCAAACACCACCAACAGCCCAGUUGACACUGAUAGAAGCUUGCCAACAACACACUAACUGGUGUCUUUUGGCAGUAUAGCUGGCAAUGUCAUGCUGUGAAAGCUUGUCUUUCAUUUUGCAGGGUAUUCCAGCCCGGCACACAGAACUACAUAGGGCAUAUCCUGGAUGGCUAGUGGGGAAGACACGGGCUGCGGUUGUGACAUCAUCAUUGUUGUCUCCAGAAAGCAAUCUUACCGAUAUCUGGCAUCAUUUGUCAGGUUUGAAACUUGGCAGAGCUUCUCCGUCGCGCUGCUCAGUGCAUUGCGGAACAUGUUCUGUACUAUUUAGGACUACUGCACCCUCAAGUGGCCAUACGAUAAACCCACAGCACUGUAGAAAUAAUGUCAGGUCUGGUGAAACAAGCCAGGCACAGCCAGCUCAGAGAUAUAUGGCCACAGUAAACCUGAAAACAGUCUAAAUGGCAAUUCUAAUAGAAAAAAAAGCACUUUAAUUUGUUAAUUUGAACUCAUCAAGAACUGAAUUAUCCAGCCAAGAUU